UACGGGGGGGGCAAGCGUUGUUCGGAAUUACUGGGCGUAAAGGGCUCGUAGGCGGCCAACUAAGUCCGACGUGAAAUCCCCAGGCUUAACCUGGGAACUGCGUCGGAUACUGGAUGGCUUGAAUUCGGGAGAGGGAUGCAGAAUUCCAGGUGUAGCGGUGAAAUGCGUAGAUAUCAAGAGGAACACCUGAGGUGAAGACGGGUUGCUGGGCUGACACUGACGCUGAGGCGCGAAAGCCAGGGGAGCAAACGGG
rnacentral:rRNA from 1 species